GUGCCAGCCGCCGCGGUAAUACCGGCAGCCCAAGUGAUGGCCGAUCUUAUUGGGCCUAAAGCGUCCGUAGCUGGCCGCGCAAGUCCAUCGGAAAAUCCACUCGCUCAACGAGUGGCCGUCCGGUGGAAACUCCACACCUUGGGACCGGAAGGCUCGAAGGGUACGGCCGGGGUAGGAGUGAAAUCCUGUAAUCCCGCACGGACCACCGAUGGCGAAAGCACUUCGAGAAAACGGAUCCGACAGUGAGGGACGAAAGCCAGGGUCUCCAACCGGAUUAGAUACCCCGGUAGUCC
rnacentral:rRNA from 1 species